rnacentral:misc_RNA from 1 species
UUUCCGUAGGUGAACCUGCGGAAGGAUCAUUAAAGUUAUAGUCCCCCGGCCCUCUGGGCUGGGGUCUUCUAUCCCACCCUUUGUCUAUUCCACCUUUGUUGCUUUGGCAGGCCUGCCCUCGGGCUGCUGGAUCCGGCCGGAUCGCGUCUGCCAGAGGACCUAAACUCUGUUAGUAUAUGAAGUCUGAGUACUAUAUAAUAGUUAAAACUUUCAACAACGGAUCUCUUGGUUCUG